GUGCGAAUGACAGACUUACUAAAUGUGUUGAUCGCAGUAGUCACUGCCAGUUCAGCUUCAAAUACCCAUUCGCAAACUGCUGGCAAACUAUUGAAAAUGGAUGUUCCUGAAUGAUCGACACCUUUCUGGACCAAAUGUCAUCUUAAAAGAGAAGUGUUCAACACUCCCGUUGAUAUAGUUGAUGAACUGGAACAGCAAAUUGUACAGUCUUUUCAAAAUUUGUAAGAUGAUCCAGGAUUAUUUGAGAGACAGUAAUUCACUGAAGAGACGAGUACUAUAUUGCAUCCAAAUUCAAGGAGGCAUGUGGAGCACUUUCUUUGACAGGCGGCCGCUUAGCCCUCCUCCCCACCUGCAUCCACACUGGAGGAAACCACAUCAUCACCGUGGCUGGUCAACUCCCGCAUUAGUCAAAAAGUAAAUUAAGUGAGAAAACAGAUUACAAAUGACUGCAC